GAUGAAGAACGUAGUGAAAUGCGAUAAUUAAUGUGAAUUGCAGAAUUCCGUGAAUCAUCGAGUCUUUGAACGCACAUUGCGCCUCAUGGCAUUCCGUGAGGCAUGCCCAUCUCAGCGUUAGAAAAUAUUCUCAAAUUUUAGUUUUGUGCUAAAAUUUGGAUCAUGUCAAAGAAGCUAUUACUAUUAUUGUGAUCGCUCUUUGGAAAUUGAUAGGUCUUUGAAUUGCUACUCAUAGAACGUGAUGAAUCUUUCUUCGUUCUAUUGUAAUUCACUCUGGUAGUCCUAAAACUUGUAUGCUCUGGCAUAUCUUGUAAUUUGACCUGAGAUUGGGUAGGGAUACCCGCUGAACUUAAGCAUAUCAAUAAGCGGAGGA
rnacentral:misc_RNA from 1 species